UUACCAUGACGCUUACCACCAAUCUCUAAUUUGGCACCAUGAGCAAUGCCACUCUCAAUAUAACUAACAAUACGUUCAUACUGUUGCUUACUAACUUGAGCACCUUGGAAGGUAUCUUCGGCGAAAGGAUCACCAACCUUCAAAGUCUUGGCCUUGGCAACCAUGCGUUUAAUGAACUCAUCGUAAACAUCCUCUUGCACGUAGACACGGCUACCUGCACAACAGACUUGACCAGAGUUGUAAAAGAUACCAUAGUUAGUCCAGACAGCAGCUGAGUCCAAAUCGGCAUCGUUGAAAACAAUAUUGGGAGACUUACCACCCAAUUCAAGAGUGACCUUCUUCAGGUUGGAGGAGGCGGCAGCACGCAUAACCAUACGACCGACACCGGUAGAACCGGUAAAGGCCACCUUAUCAAUGUCCAUGUGAGAACUAAUAGCGUUACCACAACGGCGACCAUCACCGCUGAGAACAUUGAUGACACCUGGAGGGAAGCCACAUUCAGGAACAAACUUGGUAAGACACAGAGCGGAAAGAGGAGUGAGUUCGGCAGUCUUCAAAAUAAUAGUAUUACCACAAGCGACGGCAGGAGCAAUUUUCCAAGCGCACAUCAAGAAAGGGAAAUUCCAGGGGAUGAUUUGACCACAUACACCAAUGGGUUCGUGACGAGUAUAGGCAAAACGCUUAAUGUCGGUUUCAAUGGUUUGACCAUAAUCCUUAUCGGCCCAACCACCAUAAUAACGGAAACAAUCGGCAGCAGCUUGAACGUCACCUCUAGCCAAAGUGAUACUCUUACCAUUGUCAAGAGUCUCAAUAGAAGCGAGGUAUUCCAAGUUUUGCUCGAUACAGUCAGCGAGACGGGAGAGGCAACGUCCACGUUGAGCGCUGGAAAACUUGCGCCAUGGAGCAUCGGUCUGGAAAGCGGCACGAGCAACUUUCACGGCGAUAUCGACAUCCUCUUCGUCGGCGUCAGCUACCUCACAAAUAAGUUUCUCAGUAGAAGGAGAGUAAACCUUCACACGACCACCGUGAACGGAAUCGACAUGUUGGUUAUUGAUAAAGAGACCGACAGGUUGAAUGUAAGUUUUUCCUGUAGGAACGGUAAUUUCGACGUGAUCAACGAGUUUUGUAGACAUUUUGAAAAGUUUGUAUUAAAAAAUUGAGAAAAGGGGUCGUUGUCGUAAAUGAGUAAGAGUAAUUAAAAAAUUAACUAGAAAAAAAAAAAAACCAAAGAUAAAAAAUGAAGUAGUGGGAUAAAUUUGGCAGAGCUGAAUUGAAAUGCAAACACA